AGCUACACCCUUUGCUCUUUUUCUCUUUCUACGUUUGUUCGAGUACAUUAAUAUCUACCUUCCAAUUGAAUUCUUUUCAACAACGCAAACACUUUACGUGAUAAGCAUUCUCUUGAUAGGGAUGCCCGACAUCCCUCUCAAUCGGAAUGUUUUAGACCUUCGAUCAUGCAGAAUGGUAACCGUCCAUUUUCUAACCAAAAGAGCCACAUUUCAAAGGGUUAAUGCAAAUUGAGGGCUUUUAUUUGUUUUCCAUCAAGCGUAAAAGGGAACACAAAUCAUAUGAACGGUUUGGAUUAUUGGAAGACUACCUAUAUUCAGACAUACUCUGCGAUCGGAUGCAUUCGAGCCAAUUUCUUCACCCUUUCUCUCUCGGGCCUCCUCUCCUGCGUGCGUUGCACGUGCAAUAUCUCUGCGUAUCCUUACAACCCUAAACCCCCUCAAGCAUCCCCAACAGCCCUUUCAAAAAGCCGUUGCAACUCUCUCUCUCUCUCUCUCUCUCUCUCUCUCCUUUUUGAGUAUGGAAAUGCUGGUGAAGAAAUACCAGCAAAAGUACAGAAGAGUUAGAGAAGAAAUGUGUCGAUGGGACGAACUUCAAUCUCGAUUCCUCUCCCAAUUCAGAAACGCUUCUUCCAUCAUCCAAAGAUUGCCGGUGCUUGACGACUCAAGAAGUUAUGGGGAACUAACAUGUGUCCAUGGCAUGAGAGAGGUUCUGUUGGGGAAACAGAUGGAGACCCUGGAAAUCAUUUUUCGUUCCAUUAGAGAGACUUUGAAAGAGUUUCAUGGCAUUGUCAUAUCCCUUGAGAAGACUGUGCGAGAUGGCAAGCAACUAUUGAAAGGGGGAUCCAUGCGGCCAACUAUGCAUCAGAUGCAAUUGCGAGUGGGGAUACGGCCAAGUCUUGCUGAUUGCGUGGAUGGGCUUAGAUCUCUUUAUGACAUGCACCUUGCAGAGUACACGCUAAAGUCAUCGACAAUUUCAGCUCUGAGUCCUCAGACACUGCAUUCCAGGAUUCAGAAAUUUUGAUAAGAUGGUGUUGGCUGAGGUAGAGGAUUGGGAGAGGAAGUCAUGAUGGUGGCUGAGGUUGUGGUCGCGGUCUUGGCCAUGAUCAUUUUAUGGAUCGUCUAUGCUCUAAUUAUGGUCGAUAUGAACACACUAUUGAUUAUUCUUGGGUACUUCAUAGUAGACUUCAAGGCCAAGUUGCUAAUUCUACAGCUAUAGAUGUGGUGGCGAUCUGAGUGCUCUCCAUCAACUCCUGGCAGAUCAACCUAACAUCCCCAAAGAGGAAGUUUAUUUUCAACAUUAUAUUUCCUGAAGAAAUUUGCUGACUUCCACCAUUUCGGAUCAAAGCAUGCAUUUAGGGUCAUGGCCGAAAGCUUGGAAGUAUUUUAAUAGACGAUACCCUUCUAUGGAUUCAACCUUCAGCUAGUACGGCCCGCCAUCUUUUUAAGGUGUCGAUGCCCUGUAAAAUGUUAGUCUUCUUGGGCCCUAGGUCUCCCAACUAAUAUUCUGCGACUGUAGUAAAUGUGUGUGGAUGGACUCAUAACUGAAAUUUCCCAGUAGUUCAAGAAAUCACCAAUUCCAUGGAAAUCAAUGAAAAUGGAGAAGGUUUUCCAUUGAUGUGACAGUUUGAGUUGUUUGAAUAGCAAAGGAAAGGGAAGAUUCCACAUUUCAAUCAUUGCACUUUCCAUAUUUUGGAUUUUCUGGAACAAGAAAUUAAAUGAUCAGUCUUACAAAGAUGAGAUUUCCACUUACUAUCGAAAAAAGAUCCUUGAAAAUGGAAUCUAUGUUUCAUUAGUGGUCAUGGAAAUAAUCAUUACCUUUUGUUUUCUUCUCCCUUGGAAUACAUAUAUCCAAACAUGACUUAAAGUACAAUGUUUCAGUUUACAAUAUGAACGAAAUUGAUACACUAUGAUGAAUUUUUUGAAAAAUGAUACUUGUCUAUGCUUAGUGCAUGACAUUGGACAUGACAUAAUCCUAGUACAAGGUGCUCAUAGUAUACUUUUGGAUAUUUCAGCCAAAUGCUAUUGUGUGA